rnacentral:rRNA from 1 species
AGAGUUUGAUCCUGGCUCAGAACGAACGCUGGCGGCGUGCCUGAGACAUGCAAGUCGUGGGGGAAUGUCGGAGCAAUCCGGCUAGUAAACCGGCGCACGGGUGAGUAACACGUGGGCAACCUGCCUCGGAGACCGGGAUAACCCGUCGAAAGACGGACUAAUACCGGAUAAGACCACGGGGAGUUCGCUUCCUGGGGUAAAAGAUGGCCUCUGCUCCUGCAAGCUAUUACUUCGAGAGGGGCCCGCGGCCUAUCAGCUAGUUGGUGAGGUAACGGCCCACCAAGGCUAAGACGGGUAGCUGGUCUGAGAGGAUGGUCAGCCACACUGGGACUGAGACACGGCCCAGAGUCCUACGGGAUGCAGCAGUCAGGAAUAUUGCGCAAUGGAGGAAACUCUGACGCAGCGACGCCGCGUGGGUGAUGAAGGCCUUCGGGUCGUAAAGCCCUGUCGGAGGGGAAGAAAGGUCUGCCGGCUAAUAUCCGGCAGGCGUUUGACGGUACCCUCAAAGGAAGCACCGGCUAACUCCGUGCCAGCAGCCGCGGUAAGACGGAGGGUGCAAGCGUUGUUCAGAUUGACUGGGCGUAAAGGGCGUGUAGGCGGUUGGUC